UCAAAGUUUUAAUUUUUUUUAAAAUUUUUUCAUCAUUCUUUUGAAUUUUUUCGUGCCAUGAGUCGACCCCUGGGUCGAUCUUAGGGUAAACUUAUAAUUUUUGACAAAAUCCUUCGGGCGCUCUCUUUUUAUUGAAAAAUUUUUCAUUGAGCUGACUCUUACCCUUCUUCUUCUUUCUCCCACAGAACGAAAGCUCUCCCUCUCUUCUCUCUCAAACUGAAGGUUUCUCUCAAAAUUCCUCUUCCCACCAAUCUUCACCCUUCAAAUCGUCCAUUAAGGAACCAACUUCCUCUCCUCUUUCUUUCUUGUUUAGGUGGUUUGAGCUUGCCCUAGAUUCAACCCCUCUUCUCCAAACCGAUGAUUUACCUUCCCAGAAUCCUUGCUUUUUCUUCUAAAAUCCUUUCUUCUCUACCUCUCAUUUAGUCUCCUAAGCUCCUUGCAAGUCUCUUUUGUCCAAAUGGCUCCCA
rnacentral:lncRNA from 1 species